UACGAAGGGGGCUAGCGUUGCUCGGAAUUACUGGGCGUAAAGGGCUCGUAGGCGGCCAACUAAGUCGGACGUGAAAUCCCCAGGCUCAACCUGGGAACUGCGUCCGAUACUGGAUGGCUUGAAUCCGGGAGAGGGAUGCAGAAUUCCAGGUGUAGCGGUGAAAUGCGUAGAUAUCUGGAGGAAUACCGGUGGCGAAGGCGGCAUCCUGGACCGGCAUUGACGCUGAGGAGCGAAAGCCAGGGGAGCAAACGGG
rnacentral:rRNA from 1 species